AGAACAGAGCAAAGAUGAACUUAAUGAAAUCAAUCCAUCUGAAACCAUGGAAAAUUUCUUCACUGAAGAGAGUGUGCAUGGUUCACAUUGCCAUUGCCAAUUCCCAUUGUUGAUAGGAGUCUGGGUCUGGUGUUCCUGAUAUGAUUUGGAAUGUCCACAUAUGUCCAGGAUGGAGCAUUUGUGACAAUUCAAGAGAUGCAGAUAUCCCAGUGCAGGCAGAGGGUACAGAGGACCUCAAACAG